AACGAACGCUGGCGGCAUGCCUAACACAUGCAAGUCGAACGAGAGCUUCGGGUUUAGUGGCGGACGGAUGCGUGACGGGUGGGAAACUGCCCAUAAGUUCGGAAUAACUCGCCGAAAGGGGUGCUAAUACCGGAUCAUAUAUUCGAAACAAAGAUUUAUAGCAUUUGGAUGUGCUCGGGAGGGAUUAGCUGGUUGGUAGGGUAAAAGCGUAUCACGGGGUGGUUCCAUAACUGGUUUGAGAGGCAGAUCAGCCACACUGGGAUGAGGACACGGCCCAGACUCCUACGGGAGGCAGCAGUGGGGAAUAUUGGACAAUGGGCGAAAGGCUGAUCCAGCAAUGCCGCGUGAGUGAUGAAGGCCUUAGGGUUGUAAAGCUCUUUUACCCGGGAUGAUAAUGACAUUACCGGGAGAAUAAGCACCGGCUAACUCCGUG
rnacentral:rRNA from 1 species